rnacentral:misc_RNA from 1 species
AAAUCCCUUCCAUAAUACCCUGGCCACUUGCUGUGCAGUAUAAGGAUGGAAGAGUGGAAAGAAAUGAGCAUACUUGGAAAGUCUAUCCACUACUACAAAAAUAACAGACUUGCCAUGGACUUUAGGAAGACCUUCAAUGAAGUCCAUUGUAAGGUUUGUAUAAAGACUCUUAGGCUCAGGAAGUGGUUGUAAGAGGCCUGGUGUAGCAAUAGUUUCAUACUUAUAAUGCUGGCAAGUAUCAGAACUCCUUAUGAAAUUUCAAACAGAUUUCCACAAUCCUGGCUAGUAGACAAUAGCUCUCAUUCUUCUAGCAGUAGCUUGAACUCCAGAAUGUCCCCUAAUAGGGGAUGUAUGAAAAAAUGUAAGGAUCUUUUGUUUAAGAGAGUCAUCAUUUCCCACGACCAAUUUGCCUUUCCUACCUGAUCAGAG